UACCCAUGGUGCGGGCAUUGUCGCUGAAGAUCUUUAAAUCUUUCCCAAGCUUCAUAAUGAGUAUCGUCUUCUUUCAUUCGAAAUGUGACUAUUUCACUUCUCAUCUUUGAGGUC
rfam:Jatropha curcas cultivar GZQX0401 scaffold82_42, whole genome shotgun sequence.